rnacentral:rRNA from 1 species
UACGUAGGGUGCAAGCGUUAAUCGGAAUUACUGGGCGUAAAGCGCACGUAGGCGGAUAUUUAAGUCAGGGGUGAAAUCCCAGAGCUCAACUCUGGAACUGCCUUUGAUACUGGGUAUCUUGAGUAUGGAAGAGGUAAGUGGAAUUGCGAGUGUAGAGGUGAAAUUCGUAGAUAUUCGCAGGAACACCAGUGGCGAAGGCGGUCUGCUGGGCAGUUGCUGACGCUGAUGCGCGACAGCGUGGGGAGCAAACAGG